UACGUAGGGUGCAAGCGUUGUCCGGAAUCAUUGGGCGUAAAGCGCGCGUAGGUGGCUUCGUAAGUCCGUUGUGAAAGUCAAAGGCUCAACCUUUGAAAGCCGAUGGAUACUGCGGAGCUAGAGUACGGAAGAGGCGAGUGGAAUUCCUGGUGUAGCGGUGGAAUGCGCAGAUAUCAGGAGGAACACCCGUGGCGAAGGCGGCACUCUGGGACGGUACUGACGCUGAGACGCGAAAGCGUGGGGAGCGAACAGG
rnacentral:rRNA from 1 species